CAGUAGCCGCGGGAAUACGUAGGGUGCGAGCGUUAAUCGGAAUUACUGGGCGUAAAGCGUGCGCAGGCGGUUCGUUAAGACAGAUGUGAAAUCCCCGGGCUUAACCUGGGAACUGCAUUUGUGACUGGCGAGCUAGAGUAUGGCAGAGGGGGGUAGAAUUCCACGUGUAGCAGUGAAAUGCGUAGAGAUGUGGAGGAAUACCGAUGGCGAAGGCAGCCCCCUGGGCCAAUACUGACGCUCAUGCACGAAAGCGUGGGGAGCAAACAGGAUUAGAUACCCCCGUAGUCCCUGUCUCUUAUAC
rnacentral:rRNA from 1 species